GCACUGGUAGAUCGUGAUAGAAUUCUCGCCUUCCGAGUGGGAGACCCAGGUUUAAUUUCUGGCCAAUGCA
rnacentral:tRNA from 1 species